rnacentral:lncRNA from 1 species
AUGGGACGUGUCCCCAACUAACUUUCAACUACUGAAAUAAUAAAGUAAUAAAAUAAUUAUUCUAUCCUAGAAUAUUGAGGACUCACUACUAGUCUGGCUGCUGAACGUCUGAUCUACUAAGGAUUCUCGGGAACUCGUGCUUCCAAACCUAUGGUAUAAAACACCAUAGUUCAAAUAAGUCAGUACUUUGAAUGUACUGGU